UACGUAGGGUGCAAGCGUUAAUCGGAAUUACUGGGCGUAAAGCGCACGUAGGCGGUUUUUUAAGUCAGAUGUGAAAGCCCCGGGCUCAACCUGGGAAUUGCAUUUGAAACUAGGAAACUAGAGUGUGUGAGAGGGGGGUAGAAUUCCAAGUGUAGCGGUGAAAUGCGUAGAGAUUUGGAGGAAUACCAGUGGCGAAGGCGGCCCCCUGGCACAACACUGACGCUCAGGUGCGAAAGCGUGGGGAGCAAACAGG
rnacentral:rRNA from 1 species